GAAAGUUGACCUCGGAUCAGGUAGGAAUACCCGCUGAACUUAAGCAUAUCAAUAAGCGGAGGAAAAGAAACCAACAGGGAUUGCCCCAGUAACGGCGAGUGAAGCGGCAACAGCUCAAAUUUGAAAUCUGGUCCUUGUGGCCCGAGUUGUAAUUUGUAGAGGAUGCUUUUGGUGCGGUGCCUUCCGAGUUCCCUGGAACGGGACGCCAUAGAGGGUGAGAGCCCCGUCUGGUUGGAUACCAAGCCUCUGUAAAGCUCCUUCGACGAGUCGAGUAGUUUGGGAAUGCUGCUCUAAAUGGGAGGUAUAUGUCUUCUAAAGCUAAAUAUUGGCCAGAGACCGAUAGCGCACAAGUAGAGUGAUCGAAAGAUGAAAAGCACUUUGAAAAGAGGGUUAAAUAGUACGUGAAAUUGUUGAAAGGGAAGCGUUUGUGACCAGACUUGGGCCCGGUUAAUCAUCCAGCGUUCUCGCUGGUGCACUUGGCCGGCCCAGGCCAGCAUCAGCUUUCGGCGGGGGAAAAAGGCGGCGGGAAUGUAGCUCCUCGGAGUGUUAUAGACCGCCGCAUAAUACCCUGCUGGGGGCUGAGGUUCGCGCAUCUGCAAGGAUGCUGGCGUAAUGGUCAUCAACGACCCGUCUUGAAACACGGACCAAGGAGUCGUCUUCGUAUGCGAGUGUUCGGGUGUCAAACCCCUACGCGUAAUGAAAGUGAACGCAGGUGAGAGCUUCGGCGCAUCAUCGACCGAUCUUGAUGUUCUCGGAUGGAUUUGAGUAAGAGCAUACGGGGCCGGACCCGAAAGAAGGUGAACUAUGCCUGUAUAGGGUGAAGCCAGAGGAAACUCUGGUGGAGGCUCGCAGCGGUUCUGACGUGCAAAUCGAUCGUCAAAUAUGGGCAUGGGGGCGAAAGACUAAUCGAACCUUCUAGUAGCUGGUUUCCGCC
rnacentral:rRNA from 1 species